CACGUAGGGGCCAAGCGUUGUCCGGAUUUAUUGGGCGUAAAGAGCUCGUAGGCGGUUCGGUAAGUCGGGUGUGAAACCUCCAGGCUCAACCUGGAGACGCCACCCGAUACUGCUGUGACUGGAGUCCGGUAGGGGAGCGUGGAAUUCCUGGUGUAGCGGUGAAAUGCGCAGAUAUCAGGAGGAACACCAGCGGCGAAGGCGGCGCUCUGGGCCGGAACUGACGCUGAGGAGCGAAAGCGUGGGUAGCAAACAGG
rnacentral:rRNA from 1 species